rnacentral:rRNA from 1 species
UACGUAGGCAGCGAGCGUUGUUCGGAGUUACUGGGCGUAAAGGGUGUGUAGGCGGUUUUCUAAGUUUGGUGUGAAAUCUCCCGGCUUAACCGGGAGGGUGCGCCGAAAACUGGGAGACUAGAGUGCGGGAUGGGAGAGUAGAAUUCCUGGUGUAGCGGUGAAAUGCGUAGAUAUCAGGAGGAAUACCGGUGGUGUAGACGGCUCUCUAGUACGGUACUGACGCUGAGACGCGAAAGCGUGGGGAGCGAACAGG